CGUCACGAAGUUAUAAUGAUAAUACUUAUUUGGGGGGGCGAGGCAGCAGCCAACACCACGCCGGGCAAGUCUGCAGGCAUCAUGUCUCGCAGUUGCCCCACCAGGACCGCUGCCAUAAUUAAGAGAGGUGUCAGACGCACCUUCAGCAAAGAAACGCUGUUCAAAAGACUACCAAUCACAUCAUGGCUUCCCAAGUACAAUCUGGAAUGUUUUGAGGGCGAUCUGAUGGCUGGCUUCACUGUCGGCCUGACCGUCAUACCUCAGGGCAUAGCCUAUGCUGUCGUGGCUGGCCUACCACCCAACUAUGGCUUGUACUCAUCCUUCAUGGGGUGCUUCAUGUACUUGAUUUUUGGCAGCUGUAAGGACAUCACCAUUGGGCCCACAGCUAUCAUGGCCAUUAUGACUCAUGAGUAUUCAGGCAAUGGUGGCCCCGACUUCGCUGUAUUGUUGUGUUUCCUCACUGGCCUCAUAAUUCUUGCUGCUGGAUUUUGUAACUUAGGUUUUCUUAUCAACUUCAUAUCCAAACCAGUAAUAUGUGGGUUUACCUCUGCGGCAGCCAUAACCAUCGCUUCUUCACAACUCAAAGGCUUGUUUGGCUUGUCAUAUUCAAGUGAUGGAAUUAUAGAAACUUAUAAAAAUCUUUUUAAACAUAUUGGAGAGACAAGAUGGCAGGAUUUAACCCUUGGAAUUUCUACUAUUAUAAUUUUGCUUCUAUUAAGGAAACUGAAAGAUUUGAAAGCAGUAAAAGUUCAGGUGAAUGACGAGAUGAAAACUAGAAUUUGGAAAAAGUGUGUAUUUUUACUCUCAGUUGGUCGCAAUGCUAUAGUCGUCAUUAUAGCUCUAAUAAUUGCCUACGCACUUGACCAUCACCAGCCCUUCAUAAUAACAGGAGAGGUACAACCUGGUUUACCAGCUUUUAAGGUGCCUCCAUUUUCUACAGUUAUCAAUGGCACUAAUUUAACUUUUAGUGAUAUGGUGUUAGACGUUGGGUCUGGGAUUGCAGUCAUCCCACUUAUAUCCAUCAUAGAAAGUAUUGCUAUUGCCAGUGCUUUUUCUGGUGGCAAAACUAUUGAUGCCACACAGGAAAUGUUUGCGCUGGGAUUUUGCAACCUCGUCGGAUCCUUUGCUCAGUCAAUGCCAGUAACCGGAUCGUUCACUCGAACUGCUGUCAAUGCUACAAGUGGUGUCAAAACUCCUGCAGGAGGCAUCGUAACCGGCAUACUGGUUAUAUUGGCCCUGGCUUUCCUUACAGCAUACUUCAAGUUCAUUCCAAAGGCAUCACUUGCAGCCGUCAUCAUCUGUGCUGUAAUAUUCAUGAUAGAGUACGAUAUUGUUGUCCCAGUUUGGAAAGCAAGACGCCUGGACGAAUUGACUCUGUGGGGUUCAUUCUUAUGCUGCCUGUUUUGGAAGCUUGAAUAUGGUAUCCUAGUUGGAGCAGGCAUUAAUCUGGCAAUUCUUCUCUUUGGUAUUGCAAGACCAAAAGUUAAAACAGACAUCAUCAAGAAACAGGAUGGAGAUGAGCCUGCCUAUGUGGUAGUUGAGCCAACUAAUGGUUUGUUCUACCCAUCAGUGGAAUAUGUGAGAGCAACAGUGAGUAAAGCUGGUCUGACUACAGGCCAAGGAAGUUUGACAGUGGUUGUGGACUGCAGUCAUUUUACUGGAAUAGAUUUCACCGCAGCCAAGGGACUCGGGAGUCUAUGUUUGGACUUCGAGAAACGCCAACAAAAUUUGGUCUUCACAAAUGUUCCACCUAGUGUGAAGAAGGGACUCCAGUCCAUUAAUGAAGAUAUCAAGAUUGCCACAUCACCAGAUGAACUACACAGCCUUCUCAGAUGGAAGAUAUCACGCGCCAAGGGAAACGGCUAUCCUUGAACAGCCCAAGGCGAGGCUUUUCUUCUCAGUAGCCAGGCCUCUCCAGGGCAAACUCCUGAACACACCAGAGAAGGGAAUUCUGGCUGUGCAUGGGCAACAUUAGCAAGCAUACAAGGAAGAAAACCAUGAGUGCAUGCAGCGCAAAAUGCAACAAGAGCCAACCCCCUCCCUACACACACACAUCAAGUCAGAAUUAAAACAUGCAUGAAGCCUAUACUAAAUGAAGAGAUGGAACAAUACAUAAAGUACAUGGUCCCCGCAAGACAAGCAUCUAAGGAUGGCUUGCACUUUGCUUGAAGCAACAGGGUUUGGUUGUAAUCUGAUGGACUGAAAGCGCUAUGAGCAGCAGCAAACGAUGUGUCAUCGGCAACAGAUCUGACCUAGGAAGCUGGCCGAGUGCUGAGGGCCAGGCCACCUGGUAUGGCGUUCAGUACUAAUGAGCUUCAAGCUAGUAUGAGCGAAUCCUUUGUACUGUGUGAAUUGGUUGCAGAGUCAUUUGGUAGUUUUCAGGCUUCGUUUUCUGUAAAGCUUCGCUGAUACACCAGGGGGUUACCAUGUCUGCUUACCCCAAGCAAAAAUCAUCAUAUCCGGCUGCAGCAGUUAACAUUACUUGUACAACUGGACGCAGCAGCACAGGAGUGAGUCGCCUUGAAGGUGAAGACCCCGACUUGACCAACCCACUGCUGGAAGUCUCUACUCUGCCUAAACCCGUUAUAUGUGAG
rnacentral:misc_RNA from 1 species